AUACGGAGGGUGCAAGCGUUAAUCGGAAUUACUGGGCGUAAAGCGUACGUAGGCGGUUCGUUAAGUUAGAUGUGAAAGCCCCGGGCUUAACCUGGGAACUGCAUUUAAAACUGGCGAACUAGAGUUGAGUAGAGGGGAGUGGAAUUUCAGGUGUAGCGGUGAAAUGCGUAGAGAUCUGAAGGAACACCAGUGGCGAAGGCGACUCCCUGGACUCGAACUGACGCUGAGGUACGAAAGCGUGGGUAGCAAACGGGAGUAGAAACCCUAGUAGUCC
rnacentral:rRNA from 1 species